CUGCAAUGGCUGAUGGUCAACUCCACGCCACACUGCACAUCUGAUGGUCACUUCCACUCCACACUGCAAUGGCUGAUGGUCACUUCCACUCCACACUGCAAUGGCUGAUGGUCACUUCCACUCCACACUGCAAUGGCUGAUGGUCACUUCCACUCCACACUGCAACUGGCUGAUGGUCACUUCCACUCCACGGCUGAUGGUCACUAACUUCCACUCCACAAUGCAACGGCUUGAUGGUCACUGCACUUCCACUCCACCCGGCUGA
rnacentral:lncRNA from 1 species